rnacentral:rRNA from 1 species
GUAACGGAACUGCUAAUUGCACCACAUGUGUUUUUCUUUGAAACAAACUUGCUUUGGCGGUGGGCCCAGCCUGCCGCCAGAGGUCUAAACUUACAACCAAUUUUUUAUCAACUUGUCACACCAGAUUAUUACUAAUAGUCAAAACUUUCAACAACGGAUCUCUUGGUUCUCGCAUCGAUGAAGAACGCAGCGAAAUGCGAUACGUAAUAUGAAUUGCAGAUAUUCGUGAAUCAUCGAAUCUUUGAACGCACAUUGCGCCCUCUGGUAUUCCGGAGGGCAUGCCUGUUUGAGCGUCGUUUCUCCCUCAAACCGCUGGGUUUGGUGUUGAGCAAUACGACUUGGGUUUGCUUGAAAGACGGUAGUGGUAAGGCGGGAUCGCUUUGACAAUGGCUUAGGUCUAACCAAAAACAUUGCUUGCGGCGGCAACGUCUACCACGUAUAUCUUCAAACUUUGACCUCAAAUCAGGUAGGACUACCCGCUGAACUUAAGCAUAUCAAUAAGCGGGAGGAA